AAGAAAUUAGUUUAAAUAAAACAUUAGAUUGUCAGACUAAAGAUAUUAAUUUAAUAUUUCUUA
rnacentral:tRNA from 1 species